UGUCCAAUGCGGGAAUCGAACCCGGGUCCUACUGGUCGAAAACCAAACGGUUUAACCAGCCUUCCACCGACAGACAAAAC
rnacentral:tRNA from 1 species